AUGAGAUUCUGGCGUAAUCUCUUUGCUGAGCUUUCUGAUCAGUGGGCUAAUGUGGUAGAUGGGGCUAAAAAGAUUUCUCUGAACGGUUCACCCGAUCAGGUUGUUUGGAAGAUUAAUAGUAAGGGGAAGUUCACCACAAAAUCUGUAUAUGAGUGGUUAGAAAAGGAUUUAUCGGGACCUGACUACGGGUUGAUCUGGAAAGCUAAAAUUCCCCUGAAGAUAAAAAUCUUCAUUUGGCAAUUGUUCUAGAAUGUCAUCCCUACCAGGGACAACCUGUGCAAGAGAAACUGGCCUGGGAACCCAACUUGCUCCUUUUGCCAUAAUAUUGAAACUACAGAUCAUCAUUUCUUUGGGUGUGUGUUUGCUCGCUCUGUUUGGGGGGCUAUUGGGGUGGCCUUCGGAGCAUCCUGUAGUCCUAAAACUAUUUGGCAAAGUUGGGCAUGGCUUUAUAAAUAUCUUCCAGGGGUAAAAAUCAUUACAUGA
rnacentral:rRNA from 1 species